rnacentral:lncRNA from 1 species
ACCACGUUAAGUUGCAGUUGAUUUCUCUGACAAGUGUUACUAUUGACCAAGCAGAUUCAACUUAAGUACCAAAAAAUUUCAGGCUUGUGAGGCAAUACAUUAUUUCCAUUUACACUGAUCAAUAACCUGAAGUAAAUCUGCUCUAUCAUAAAAUGUAUAGAUUGUCUUAUAUGGUACAGCUAAUGUGUUUUGUCAAACGAGAGAGAGAGAGAUAG